UGUCAAGAAGGCUACAACACACACCGUUAAUCUGAGACUACCCACCACACACACUACAACAACGACGAUAUUGGGGCCUCGCCCAGAACUGAACCACAAGCUGCGUCGCGACCAAUGCCAAGCAUAUCCAAAGAACCAACCUCCUAUGAACUCUCCAUGUCGAUGUACCAUCCACCCUUGAGCACCUAAGAGUCGGCAGGUGGGUGGUAGGACUUGUCAACCCAGCGAAAGGUGCCGCUUUGAAGUCGCCAGCAACAUCUUACAUUGCGCCCUGAAAUCUCAUCCAUGAGCAGCAUGCAACACUAGAGCAACACAUGCCAAAAACCGAGUGCUCACCAAGUUCAUGUUGUUGAUAAUGAGAUGGAUGAGUUAUCUAUUCCAAAUAACUAGUGACCCAUCAACCAUCAAUUGGUUGGUUGGUUGCGUGCUGAUUUUGGAGUAAAAAGGAUUUUGAUAUAAUGAGAAGAUAUGAUAAUCCUGGCAGUCAUUGAGUUAUUGGUAUGACACUAUUAAAUCAAUCCAACAAGGAACCAGCUGAGCAUCAAUUCAAGGCAAUCCUACUGAACCUCAGCAGCCAUAUAUGGUCUAGAGUCGGCCAUGAUGCAAUUGUAGACAGAGCAGCAGAUGCCCUCGUUGUCGUACGAUGCCUACUUCUACGUGUGUCUAUGGUUUAGCUGGUUAAAAACGCUACCAGUGAGCAUGGGGUUGAGAUCCUGGAGUAUAUAUGCAGAGUGCAAUGCUUGUUUCUGGCUUUGUAGCUGUUGGAUGGCAUGUUCUAUUGACCUGGACACCUGGUAGCUAUCCUUUCUCCAUUUGAUUUAUCUUUACAUUGUGUAAAAAAAAUUAUCUUUACAUGGGCAUCGACAUAGCUAGACCAAUUGGAAAUG